CUUAAUCCUUAGAGUUUGAUCCUGGCUCAGGAUGAACGCUAGCUACAGGCUUAACACAUGCAAGUCGAGGGGAAACGAUAGAGAAAGCUUGCUUUUUCUAGGCGUCGACCGGCGCACGGGUGAGUAACGCGUAUCCAACCUGCCCAUCACUUGGGGAUAACCUUGCGAAAGUAAGACUAAUACCCAAUGACGUCUCUAGAAGACAUCUGAAGGAGAUUAAAGAUUUAUCGGUGAUGGAUGGGGAUGCGUCUGAUUAGCUUGUUGGCGGGGUAACGGCCCACCAAGGCGACGAUCAGUAGGGGUUCUGAGAGGAAGGUCCCCCACAUUGGAACUGAGACACGGUCCAAACUCCUACGGGAGGCAGCAGUGAGGAAUAUUGGUCAAUGGGCGAGAGCCUGAACCAGCCAAGUAGCGUGCAGGAAGACGGCCCUAUGGGUUGUAAACUGCUUUUAUAAGGGAAUAAAGUGGGAGUCGUGACUCCUUUUGCAUGUACCUUAUGAAUAAGGACCGGCUAAUUCCGUGCCAGCAGCCGCGGUAAUACGGAAGGUCCGGGCGUUAUCCGGAUUUAUUGGGUUUAAAGGGAGCGUAGGCCGGAGAUUAAGCGUGUUGUGAAAUGUAGACGCUCAACGUCUGCACUGCAGCGCGAACUGGUUUCCUUGAGUACGCACAAAGUGGGCGGAAUUCGUGGUGUAGCGGUGAAAUGCUUAGAUAUCACGAAGAACUCCGAUUGCGAAGGCAGCUCACUGGAGCGCAACUGACGCUGAAGCUCGAAAGUGCGGGUAUCGAACAGGAUUAGAUACCCUGGUAGUCCGCACGGUAAACGAUGGAUGCCCGCUGUUGGUCUGAAUAGGUCAGCGGCCAAGCGAAAGCAUUAAGCAUCCCACCUGGGGAGUACGCCGGCAACGGUGAAACUCAAAUGAAUUGACGG
rnacentral:rRNA from 1 species